UUGAGCGGAGAUAUAUGGAGCUUGCUUUAUAUAACUUAGCAGCGAACGGGUGAGUAACACGUAGAUAAUCUAUCCUAUACUGGGGGAUAGCCCGAUGAAAGUUGGAUUAAUACCGCAUAUAGCUAUAUAGUUGCAUGAUUAUGUAGUGAAAGAUUUAUUGGUAUAGGAGGAGUCUGCGGCACAUUAGCUAGUAGGUGAGGUAAAGGCUUACCUAGGCGACGAUGUGUAGCCGGUCUGAGAGGAUGAACGGCCACAAUGGAACUGAGACACGGUCCAUACUCCUACGGGAGGCAGCAGUGGGGAAUAUUGCACAAUGGGGGAAACCCUGAUGCAGCAACGCCGCGUGAGUGAAGAAGGUUUUCGGAUUGUAAAGCUCUGUUAGCAGGGAAGAGGAAGGACGGUACCUGCAGAGGAAGCCACGGCUAACUACGUGCCAGCAGCCGCGGUAAUACGUAGGUGGCAAGCGUUGUUCGGAAUAACUGGGCGUAAAGGAUGCGUAGGCGGUUAAACAAGUUAUAUGUUAAAUAUAUAGGCUUAACCUGUAGAAAGCAUAUAAAACUGUUUAACUAGAGUGCAGGAGAGGUAAGUGGAAUUCCUAGUGUAGCGGUGAAAUGCGUAGAGAUUAGGAAGAACACCAGUGGCGAAGGCGACUUACUGGACUGUAACUGACGCUGAGGCAUGAGAGCAUGGGGAGCAAACAGGAUUAGAUACCCUGGUAGUCCAUGCUGUAAACGAUGGGUACUAGGUGUGGGUUGUGAAUAACAAUUCGUGCCGUCGCAA
rnacentral:rRNA from 1 species